rnacentral:ncRNA from 2 species
UUACACGUUUUGAUAUACGGUGCUCUAGCGAUAGAGCUGAAAAAGGGAAUUUGCCAAAAAAUUUGCGCAAAGCUGUCCCCGCAACUGUAAACGAUGACGAAAUCUACGAGCCACUGCGCAUGAGCGGGAAGGGUAGAUGGAGGGUGAUUCGAGAGCCAGUAGACCUGCCGAUUAUCAAAUAGCACA